UACGUAGGGACCAAGCGUUGUUCGGAUUUACUGGGCGUAAAGGGCGCGUAGGCGGCCUGACAAGUCACUUGUGAAAUCUCCGGGCUUAACUCGGAACGGUCAAGUGAUACUGUCGCGCUAGAGUGCGGAAGGGGCAAUCAGAAUUCUUGGUGUAGCGGUGAAAUGCGUAGAUAUCAAGAGGAAUACCUGAGGCGAAGACGGGUUGCUAGGCCGACACUGACGCUGAAGCGCGAAAGCCAGGGGAGCAAACGGG
rnacentral:rRNA from 1 species